GACAGACUUUACCGUGGGGGUUGAGGCACUCACUGAAAACCUACGACCGAUGGUUCGCACCUGGUGCCUCUCCAACCACCAAAUAGUAUUAGAAAUCUUGGUUUUACUGCAUUGCUAUUAGUUUGGUCUGGUGAGUUAUGCAUACGACAUGGCCUAUAAAUAGAGCCAUAGAAGGAUGUUACAUUUAAUCAGAAUUAGCAUUAUUUCAAACAAUCAAGUCUAGCUCAGUAGCGUUAGAUAAUAAUGCAUGAUCUUCACGACCUGGAAGUUGCAGAAGAAAAGGAAGUAUGCCGUCUCAAACUCAGCAAAGAACUCGACAGUAAAUUCACCUGGAGCACUCAUUUGAGCAAGAAUACACAACUAAGUUUAAUAGGCGAAGGUCGCCAUCUGCUGCCCCGUGAAGAAACCUCAACCACGAACCUUCACGAGGGGCCAGGAGAUGUAUAUGUUUGGCCUUCUCCAAUUAAUAUACUAAGUGUGAGUCUGUGACUAAGAGGAGGAUAUAUAUGUAAUGAAUUUGUUUUGAUGGCCAUCAUAAACUCACGUUAUUAAGAAUGUAUACCAAUUGAAUAGACAUAUUUUCUAUGAUCUAGAAUAAUUAUAAUAGACAGUUCAUACUCAAAUAGUAUGAGAAUCAUACUGUACGUGUUUUUCAACAAUUAAUAUUAUAAUCCCAGAGUUCGAAUUGCCUUU